GAUGAACGCUGGCGGCGUGCCUAAUACAUGCAAGUCGAGCGAACGGAUAAGGAGCUUGCUCCUUUGAAGUUAGCGGCGGACGGGUGAGUAACACGUGGGUAACCUACCUAUAAGACUGGAAUAACUUCGGGAAACCGGAGCUAAUGCCGGAUAACAUUUGGAACCGCAUGGUUCUAAAGUAAAAGAUGGUUUUGCUAUCACUUAUAGAUGGACCCGCGCCGUAUUAGCUAGUUGGUAAGGUAACGGCCCACCAAGGCAAUGAUGGGUAGCCGGCCUGAGAGGGUGAACGGCCACAAGGGGACUGAGACACGGCCCUU
rnacentral:rRNA from 1 species